GGCUACACAUGCAAGUCGAACGGUAGCACAGAGAGCUUGCUCUCGGGUGACGAGUGGCGGACGGGUGAGUAAUGUCUGGGAAACUGCCUGAUGGAGGGGGAUAACUACUGGAAACGGUAGCUAAUACCGCAUAACGUCUUCGGACCAAAGUGGGGGACCUUCGGGCCUCACACCAUCGGAUGUGCCCAGAUGGGAUUAGCUAGUAGGUGGGGUAAUGGCUCACCUAGGCGACGAUCCCUAGCUGGUCUGAGAGGAUGACCAGCCACACUGGAACUGAGACACGGUCCAGACUCCUACGGGAGGCAGCAGUGGGGAAUAUUGCACAAUGGGCGCAAGCCUGAUGCAGCCAUGCCGCGUGUAUGAAGAAGGCCUUCGGGUUGUAAAGUACUUUCAGCGGGGAGGAAGGCGAUAAGGUUAAUAACCUUGUCGAUUGACGUUACCCGCAGAAGAAGCACCGGCUAACUCCGUGCCAGCAGCCGCGGUAAUACGGAGGGUGCAAGCGUUAAUCGGAAUUACUGGGCGUAAAGCGCACGCAGGCGGUCUGUCAAGUCAGAUGUGAAAUCCCCGGGCUUAACCUGGGAACUGCAUUUGAAACUGGCAGGCUAGAGUCUUGUAGAGGGGGGUAGAGGUCCRGGUGUAGCGGUGAGCUGCGUAAAGAUCUGGAAGAAUGCCGGUGGCGAAUGGGGACCCCGGCCCCAAGGCYGAAGCUCAAGKGYCAGGUGCGAAAGCGCGAAGAGCAAACAGGAUCCGGUACCUUGGUACCCCACGCCGUAAACGAUUUGGACUUGGAGGUUGUGCCCUUGAGGCGUGGCUUCCGGAGCUAACGCGUUAAGUCGACCGCCUGGGGAGUACGGCCGCAAGGUUAAAACUCAAAUGAAUUGACGGGGGCCCGCACAAGCGGUGGAGCAUGUGGUUUAAUUCGAUGCAACGCGAAGAACCUUACCUGGCCUUGACAUCCACGGAAUUCGGCAGAGAUGCCUUAGUGCCUUCGGGAACCGUGAGACAGGUGCUGCAUGGCUGUCGUCAGCUCGUGUUGUGAAAUGUUGGGUUAAGUCCCGCAACGAGCGCAACCCUUAUCCUUUGUUGCCAGCGAGUAAUGUCGGGAACUCAAAGGAGACUGCCGGUGACAAACCGGAGGAAGGUGGGGAUGACGUCAAGUCAUCAUGGCCCUUACGGCCAGGGCUACACACGUGCUACAAUGGCGCAUACAAAGAGAAGCGAACUCGCGAGAGCAAGCGGACCUCACAAAGUGCGUCGUAGUCCGGAUCGGAGUCUGCAACUCGACUCCGUGAAGUCGGAAUCGCUAGUAAUCGUAGAUCAGAAUGCUACGGUGAAUACGUUCCCGGGCCUUGUACACACCGCCCGUCACACCAUGGGAGUGGGUUGCAAAAGAAGUAGGUAGCUUAACCUUCGGGAGGGCGCUACCACUUUUGUAU
rnacentral:rRNA from 1 species